rnacentral:rRNA from 1 species
AGACGAAGGAUGCAAGCGUUAUCCGGAUUCAUUGGGUUUAAAGGGUGCGUAGGCGGACUUGUAAGUCAGUGGUGAAAUCUCUUCGCUUAACGAAGAAACUGCCAUUGAUACUGCAGGUCUAGAGUAUAGAUGACGUUGGCGGAAUAUGACAUGUAGUGGUGAAAUACUUAGAUAUGUCAUAGAACACCGAUUGCGAAGGCAGCUAACGAAACUAUAACUGACGCUGAGGCACGAAAGUGCGGGGAUCAAACAGGAUUAGAUACCCUGGUAGUCCGCACCGUAAACGAUGAUUACUCGUUGUUGGCGAUAUGACAGUCAGCGACCAAGCGAAAGCGAUAAGUAAUCCACCUGGGGAGUACGCCGGCAACGGUGAA